rnacentral:lncRNA from 1 species
GGUUAUUAAGUUCUUUGACCUAUUGAUACGCCUUAUUUAUGAUGCUUUAGUUAUUUCAUUGUCUACUAGUGAGUGUCGUUUUUUUUUUUUUUUUGUUUAUUCGUGCCUAGAUUCGCCGCUUCUUUGUUGUCUAUUUUAUGGGUAUUUUACUGUCUCUUCUUGAGUUUAUUUGUUUGAAUGUCAUUGAGCUUGUAUGCCUUCAUUUCCUUUGUUUGUUAAUGUCGAUAUCUGUAUUCGGUUUUAUUAUUUUAAGGUCUGGCCUUCUUUCUAAACGAAAGGAAAAUCUUAGAAAAUUCACUGAUAUGAAGUAGUGUGUUGUUUUAGUUACUGUGUGUUGGAUG